CGGAUUUUCAUGAACCAAUAAAAAAGCGAUGGGUCGUUUGGACCUUGUAGGUGCUGAUGGGCGGCGCUUCCAGGAAAAGCUACUAGAAGUGGAUCAGGCUAAGGAGGCAUCGUCCGACCUCCUUCUGCAUUACCACAAACCAACGGAGACGCCAGGCCUAUGUCAUCAAGGAGCUCACCCUCCUCCAGGGCAGCUGGAGUCUGGGCUUCCAGGCUGGGUCUUGCCACUGCUUACCAAGUGGAUGCUGUCAUAAGUGGAUAAAGUGCUUGGGUGGUGGCAGACCAGCAGGGGGAGAAGAGACAUCACUGAGGCUUUUCGGGAGCAUGAAGCCCAUAUUUAAAAAUAAGUAUAGCCACAAUAUCACUGUGUUCAGGAAGAAUCUUCCUUGAGUUUUGCCAGAAAAGCUCCAGAGAGGACCUUGGUUGGUAUGGUUCAGCUCCAGUAUUCAGCCCUGUAGAUCUCCCUAGGUCUGCAGGAAAGGGCUUCAGCUGGCCAGCAUGGGGCACCAGGCAGUGCCUGUGAUGGAGGCAGAGCUCCUACAAGAAGGCACAGAACCCAGUGAAAUCCACAGGCUUCUAAAUUCAGGAGGCCUAUCAUCUACCAUCUAUCUACCAUAUCAAGAGCAAAUUGUGUGAACUUUGGUAAAACGGAAUGAAGUAAUUUCCCUUUGGGCCAAAACACGACUGCUCUGCAUUCCAGUUUUGGAAAUAUUUCCUGAUCUGUAAAAUGGUGAGUUGAAGGCAGACACCCUUUGCAGUUCUCAGAGCAGUGCUGGGCAGAGACCUUUUGAAUCAGAUGUUGGCCCUUUUGGAAGCUGAGAACUACUGGAAGUCCUUUUGAAACUAAGAGCAUUUAAUCCUGCCCACGACUUUGGAGCAUCAUUUUCAGUUAAAGAUUCUUCAAUCCAUAUGGCUGUUUUAACUGAAUUUGUUUGGGGAGCACAGAUGGUAUGAAAGAAGCUCACAAGCUGCAGUAACCUCAAGUGAGGAACCAGGCACUGGGCUGAGGCGUUCUGCAGACGCCCAUUCACGCUGGCCCCGCAGGGCUCUGGGUGUGGAGUGAGCGGAGCUGGAGGAGGACCAAGCACGGCAGGACCCGGGAGCACGGCAGGACCCAGAACGAGCGCAGUGCGGCAGGGCAUACGGGAGGGGUCUGCCCUCCCUGCCUUGGCUUGCUUCCCCCCUGUGACUUGGCCUCUGCCUGCCCAUCCCGUUCUUCAGGGAGUUUACAGUGGACUUUCCCAGUAAGUUUGACUGUAUAUUGUAUGCUUAAUAUAAAUUUGGUUGGU